rnacentral:rRNA from 1 species
UACGUAGGGUGCGAGCGUUGUCCGGAAUUAUUGGGCGUAAAGAGCUCGUAGGCGGUUUGUCGCGUCGGCCGUGAAAUCUCCACGCUUAACGUGGAGCGUGCGGUCGAUACGGGCAGACUUGAGUUCGGUAGGGGAGACUGGAAUUCCUGGUGUAGCGGUGAAAUGCGCAGAUAUCAGGAGGAACACCGGUGGCGAAGGCGGGUCUCUGGGCCGAAACUGACGCUGAGGAGCGAAAGCGUGGGGAGCAAACAGG